CUUUUUCGGCUUUUUGAUAUGCAUUGAUAGAUAUGCAUUUAGCAUGGGAAACUUAAGCUUCAUUGUAAGGGAAAACAUCUUCCGCUAAUUGUUAGACGGACCCAAGGAUUCUUUUCUGUAAGUUCGCAAUAGUAUACGGUGUUGGACUGAACAUUUAGUGUAGGUUUCUCCUAAAUUUAGAGUCAGUGGACUAGUCCAAUCGGGGGGAAACCACUU